CAAAAUGACUCUCGGCAACGGAUAUCUCGGCUCUUGCAUCGAUGAAGAACGUAGCAAAAUGCGAUACUUGGUGUGAAUUGCAGAAUCCCGUGAACCAUCGAGUCUUUGAACGCAAGUUGCGCCCGAAGCCAUUAGGUUGAGGGCACGCCUGCCUGGGUGUCACAC
rnacentral:rRNA from 5 species